GGGACGGGUGAGUGACACGUGGAUAACCUACCUAUAAGACUGGGAUAACUUCGGGAAACCGGAGCUAAUACCGGAUAAUAUAUUGAACCGCAUGGUUCAAUAGUGAAAGACGGUUUUGCUGUCACUUAUAGAUGGAUCCGCGCCGCAUUAGCUAGUUGGUAAGGUAACGGCUUACCAAGGCAACGAUGCGUAGCCGACCUGAGAGGGUGAUCGGCCACACUGGAACUGAGACACGGUCCAG
rnacentral:rRNA from 1 species